GAAUAUAUUAAUAAUUUUUUCAAACAUCUUCGAAAACGUUAAAUUGCUGAAAAAAAAUUUCUUAAAAAAAUUUGCGGGGCUUUCCUCAUCGCUUGACCAGAGUCGUAAGUAGUUUUUUUAACGCUAUAAAGUUUA